rnacentral:rRNA from 1 species
AAAACAUCUUUUUUUGUUAAUAAUUUUAAAUUUAACCUGCUCUAUGAGUUUACUUAAAUGGCCGCGGUAUAUUGACCGUGCAAAGGUAGCAUAAUCAUUAGGUUGUUAAUUGCAGUCUUGUAUGAAUGGUUGGACGAGAUAUUAUCUGUCUCGGUAUUUAUUUAUUUAAUUUAAAUUUUAAGUUAGAAUGCUUAAAUUUUUUUAUAGGACGAGAAGACCCUUUAGAUCUUUAAUUGAUUUUAUGUUUAUUAUAUUUUGUUUUGUUUAUUUUAAUAUUUUUUUAUUUUUUGUUGGGGUGACAUGGUGAUAUAAUUAACUCAUUAUUUUAUUUAACAAUUAUUUUUGUUUAUUUGACCUUUUUAUUAGUGUUAUAAGAUUUAGAUACCUAAGGGAUAACAGCGUAAUUCUUUUUGAGAGUUCAAAUCGACGAUGGAGAUUGCGACCUCGAUGUUGGAUUAAGAUUAUAGUUAGGUGUAGUUGCUUAAUUGUAGGUCUGUUCGACCUUUAAAUUCUUACA